AGAGUUUGAUCAUGGCUCAGAUUGAACGCUGGCGGCAGGCCUAACACAUGCAAGUCGAACGGUAACAGGAAGAAGCUUGCUUCUUUGCUGACGAGUGGCGGACGGGUGAGUAAUGUCUGGGAAACUGCCUGAUGGAGGGGGAUAACUACUGGAAACGGUAGCUAAUACCGCAUAACGUCGCAAGACCAAAGAGGGGGACCUUCGGGCCUCUUGCCAUCGGAUGUGCCCAGAUGGGAUUAGCUAGUAGGUGGGGUAAAGGCUCACCUAGGCGACGAUCCCUAGCUGGUCUGAGAGGAUGACCAGCCACACUGGAACUGAGACACGGUCCAGACUCCUACGGGAGGCAGCAGUGGGGAAUAUUGCACAAUGGGCGCAAGCCUGAUGCAGCCAUGCCGCGUGUAUGAAGAAGGCCUUCGGGUUGUAAAGUACUUUCAGCGGGGAGGAAGGGAGUAAAGUUAAUACCUUUGCUCAUUGACGUUACCCGCAGAAGAAGCACCGGCUAACUCCGUGCCAGCAGCCGCGGUAAUACGGAGGGUGCAAGCGUUAAUCGGAAUUACUGGGCGUAAAGCGCACGCAGGCGGUUUGUUAAGUCAGAUGUGAAAUCCCCGGGCUCAACCUGGGAACUGCAUCUGAUACUGGCAAGCUUGAGUCUCGUAGAGGGGGGUAGAAUUCCAGGUGUAGCGGUGAAAUGCGUAGAGAUCUGGAGGAAUACCGGUGGCGAAGGCGGCCCCCUGGACGAAGACUGACGCUCAGGUGCGAAAGCGUGGGGAGCAAACAGGAUUAGAUACCCUGGUAGUCCACGCCGUAAACGAUGUCGACUUGGAGGUUGUGCCCUUGAGGCGUGGCUUCCGGAGCUAACGCGUUAAGUCGACCGCCUGGGGAGUACGGCCGCAAGGUUAAAACUCAAAUGAAUUGACGGGGGCCCGCACAAGCGGUGGAGCAUGUGGUUUAAUUCGAUGCAACGCGAAGAACCUUACCUGGUCUUGACAUCCACAGAACUUUCCAGAGAUGGAUUGGUGCCUUCGGGAACUGUGAGACAGGUGCUGCAUGGCUGUCGUCAGCUCGUGUUGUGAAAUGUUGGGUUAAGUCCCGCAACGAGCGCAACCCUUAUCCUUUGUUGCCAGCGGUCCGGCCGGGAACUCAAAGGAGACUGCCAGUGAUAAACUGGAGGAAGGUGGGGAUGACGUCAAGUCAUCAUG
rnacentral:rRNA from 1 species